GCUUUAUUCAAUAUGAACUAUUGAAGUGAGAAGUAGAGCCAAAACAACUCAUAUUGUCCAAAGAAAAAAUUAAAAAACAUAUAUAUCGAAUUGCUUCCUGUUUCGAAAUCAUGUUAGAUUCAUUUUUCCUUUGUAUAUUUACAUGAUUUCACUUCAAAGAUCAACUCCAAACUAUCAUACCAAGUCUAAAAUUUUACAAGUUCAGUGCUUUUCUAAUAUCAAGUAACACGGAUGAGUAGUACAACCAUGAUAAAGAUACAAACCAUUA
rnacentral:lncRNA from 1 species